UACGGAGGGAGCGAGCGUUGUUCGGAAUUACUGGGCGUAAAGCGUGCGCAGGCGGAUUUUCAAGUCAGAAGUGAAAUCCCAGGGCUCAACCCUGGAAUUGCUUUUGAAACUGGAUAUCUUGAGUCUCGGAGAGGUUGGCGGAAUUCCCAGUGUAGCAGUGAAAUGCGUAGAUAUUGGGAGGAACACCAGUGGCGUAAGCGGCCAACUGGACGAGUACUGACGCUCAUGCACGAAAGUGUGGGGAUCAAACAGG
rnacentral:rRNA from 1 species